rnacentral:lncRNA from 1 species
UUAUUUUCCUACUAUUUACAUAUUCUAACACUCCACCUCAAGGUGGCGUAUAUAAAUCAUAUGUACCUAGCUUGUUAUAUAUAUAGUUAAUAUGCGAAACAAACAUAGGGAGCACAUUUUAUAAUUGGCUUUGUCAUGGAUAAAAGAGCCCCAGAACUCUUUACCAGUAUGCUUUUAUGAGACAUGUAUAAACUGUAUAAAUGAAUGCUUCAUUACUAAAAAAAUUAAUUCUGCUUUGUAUUAAACUGUAGACUGCUCUUAGAUUAGCACAGCUGGAC